AGCCCUUUAGUUUGAAACCCCGAAACCAGAUGAGCUACCCCGAGACCGCCUAUUUAAAUUUAGGGCUAACCCGUCUCUGUGGCAAAAGAGUGGGAAGAGCUCCGGGUAGAAGUGAUAGACCUACCGAACCUGGUGAUAGCUGGUUGCCUGAGAAAUGGAUAGAAGUUCAGCCUCGUACACCCCUAAUCGAGUAUAUAUUAUUAAGAUACUAGGGAAACAUACGAGAGUUAGUUGAAGGGGGUACAGCCCCUUUAACAAAGGAUACAACCUUCACAGGAGGAUAAAGAUCAUAAUAUAUAUAAAAUAUACUGUUUUAGUGGGCCUAAAAGCAGCCAUCUAAACGGAAAGCGUUAAAGCUCGGACAGAAACAAAUUUAUUAUUCUGAUAAUAAAUCUUACUCCCCUAACACUAUCAGGCUAACCCAUGCAUCCAUGGAAGAAAUUAUGCUAAAAUGAGUAACAAGAAGACACGCUCUUCUCCAAGCACAAGUGUAAGCCAGAUCGGACCACCCGCUGGAAAUUAACGAACCCAACCCAAGAGAGUAAUGUGGCCAAUAAGGAAAUCAAGAAAACCCCACAACUACGUGAUCGUUAAUCCCACACUGGAGUGCUAUUUAUAGAGGAAAGACUAAAAGAAAGGGAAGGAACUCGGCAAACACAAGCCUCGCCUGUUUACCAAAAACAUCGCCUCCUGCAACCAAACUGAGUAUAGGAGGUCCAGCCUGCCCAGUGACUACGGGUUCAACGGCCGCGGUAUUUUGACCGUGCAAAGGUAGCGCAAUCACUUGUCUUUUAAAUAGAGACCUGUAUGAAUGGCUAAACGAGGGCUUAGCUGUCUCCCCCUUCCAGUCAGUGAAAUUGAUCUAUCCGUGCAGAAGCGGGUAUAAGACUACAAGACGAGAAGACCCUUUGGAGCUUAAGGUACAAAAUCCAACCACGUCAAGAAACUCAGUAAAAAGUAAGAACUUAGUGGAUCCUGGAAAUUUACCUUCGGUUGGGGCGACCACGGAGGAAAAACCAGCCUCCGAGUGGAAUGGGUUAAAUUCCUAAAACCAAGAGAAACACCUCUAAGCCACAGAACAUCUGACCAAUAAAUGAUCCGGCCUAUAAAGCCGAUCAACGAACCAAGUUACCCUAGGGAUAACAGCGCAAUCCUCUCCCAGAGUCCAUAUCGACGAGGGGGUUUACGACCUCGAUGUUGGAUCAGGACAUCCUAAUGGUGCAGCCG
rnacentral:rRNA from 1 species